AGGUCUUGUGGACAAAGACUUAUGGACAGGUGCAAAACAUAAAUCCUCUUCGCAACCCAGAACUUAUUGUUCAGUAUGAGUUUUGAUACAUGUAAGAAGGGAUAUU
rnacentral:snoRNA from 1 species